UACGGGGGGGGCAAGCGUUGUUCGGAAUUACUGGGCGUAAAGGGCUCGUAGGCGGCCAACUAAGUCAUACGUGAAAUCCCUCGGCUUAACCGGGGAACUGCGUCUGAUACUGGACGGCUUGAGUUUGGGAGAGGGACGCGGAAUUCCAGGUGUAGCGGUGAAAUGCGUAGAUAUCUGGAGGAACACCGGUGGCGAAGGCGGCGUCCUGGACCAACACUGACACUGAGGAGCGAAAGCCAGGGGAGCAAACAGG
rnacentral:rRNA from 1 species